rnacentral:rRNA from 1 species
UACGUAGGGGGCAAGCGUUGUCCGGAAUUACUGGGCGUAAAGCGCGCGCAGGCGGUCCUUCAAGUCAGAGGUGAAAGCCCAGAGCUCAACUCUGGAAUGGCCUUUGAGACUAGAGGACUUGGGUACGGGAGAGGUGAGUGGAAUUCCGAGUGUAGAGGUGAAAUUCGUAGAUAUUCGGAAGAACACCAGUGGCGAAGGCGGCUCACUGGCCCGUUACCGACGCUCAGGCGCGACAGCGUGGGGAGCAAACAGG